rnacentral:rRNA from 1 species
AGAGUUUGAUCAUGGCUCAGGAUGAACGCUAGCGGCAGGCCUAAUACAUGCAAGUUGAACGGUAGACGAUCUUUCGGGAUUGUUGAGAGUAGCGCACGGGUGCGUAACGCGUAUGAAACCUACCCUAUACAGGGGGAUAGCCCGGAGAAAUCUGGAUUAAUACCCCAUGGCACUGUGAUUUGGCAUCGGAUUACAGUUAAAGAUUUAUCGGUAUAGGAUGGUCAUGCGUCUGAUUAGCUAGUUGGCGGUGUAACGGACCACCAAGGCGACGAUCAGUAGGGGUUCUGAGAGGAAGGUCCCCCACACUGGCACUGAGAUACGGGCCAGACUCCUACGGGAGGCAGCAGUAGGGAAUAUUGGGCAAUGGACGAGAGUCUGACCCAGCCAUGCCGCGUGCAGGAAGACGGCCUAUUGGGUUGUAAACUGCUUUUAUCUGGGAAGAAAAGGCCCUUGCGAGGGACAUUGCCGGUACCAGAUGAAUAAGCACCGGCUAACUCCGUGCCAGCAGCCGCGGUAAUACGGAGGGUGCAAGCGUUGUCCGGAUUUAUUGGGUUUAAAGGGUGCGUAGGCGGCUAAUUAAGUCAGCGGUGAAAGUUUUGGGCUCAACCCAGAAAUUGCCAUUGAUACUGGUUAGCUUGAGUAUUGGAGGGGUACAUGGAAUUGAUGGUGUAGCGGUGAAAUGCAUAGAUACCAUCAGGAA